rnacentral:lncRNA from 1 species
GGUCACUGAAAGAGCAAUUAUCCUCAGUAUAUAGCUUUUUUUGACCCAAACAAGCAAAAGAAGAAGAAGCAAUCGGUUGCUGGACAAGGUACUUAUGUGAUAACACCUUGUAACUUCUCUCUUUUUGAUGCAAUGACUUGGAUAUUGGACACCGAAAGCCCCAUUAAUAUUUGCAAUUCAUUGCAGGGUUUUCAGGUUAGUGAG